UACGGGGGGAGCAAGCGUUGUUCGGAUUUACUGGGCGUAAAGGGCGCGUAGGCGGCGCGGUAAGCGUGCGGUGAAAGCCCGGGGCUCAACCCCGGGUCGGCCGUGCGGACUGCCGGGCUGGAGCACUGUAGAGGCAGGUGGAAUUCCGGGUGUAGCGGUGGAAUGCGUAGAGAUCCGGAAGAACACCGGUGGCGAAGGCGGCCUGCUGGGCAGUAGCUGACGCUGAAGCGCGACAGCGUGGGGAGCAAACAGG
rnacentral:rRNA from 1 species